GGCUGGAUACCUCAGUUGGUAGAGCACUCGUUCGGUGUUCCAGAGGUCGCAGGUUCGAAUCCUGCUCCAAUCA